UACUCUUCCUAUGUUGCUUGCUAACUUGGUUCCAAUCAAUCAGGCAGUCAUCAAACAACUUGUCUUUGAUUUUGUCCUAAAAGAAGGCGUUUUUUUUGUGUUACCUGUAAAAGGCGUGGGUUUCGGUGAUGGCACGGUACAAGCCACUGGCGGCCCGAUUGCUGAUCAGCUUGAACAUAAGCACUACGUUGUCGUUGGUCUCUUUGGUAACCGUCAAGUAAACGGUCUUCCCCGACUGGGUGGCGAUCUGAAUGACAGGAUAGCUCACCCUGUUUGUUGCGAGAGAGAAGACCGCAUUUAGGAUUCAAAAUGUUAGGCAAAUUGCAGGAUUUGGUUGUGUUGGUACGCACCGGUUGACGAGGCUGAAGUCCUCCUUGCAGAUGGCGAUGCCUUCAGGUCCGACGCCGAUGGCCAGACGUUGUCCGUUGGCGUCCCGGGCCCAGUGCCACUCCACGCCGUAGUGCUCCAGCAAAGAGACAAGCUGCAGGGCUUGAUACUCCACAGAGCCUUGGCUCGCCCCCUCCAGAGCCUUGUGUCUGGAUACAAUGCUGUGGAAGACACCCAAUGUCAUCAAUCUUAUCUUUUACUGUAAAGAAAGGGGGCGCAAUACUACUACCCCCCCAGAGAGUUUACAAAUAGAGACGGUUGCGUAAGACCAAUGCCGUGAGUGCAACACCACUACUUGUAUUGAUCUCUGGGGUCAGCUGUACGACCUGCACAGUUCGUUAUGGUCCUCCUACCUGUUGAUGGUGUCAGGACAGGGCUCCUCCCCACAAAGCUCUGAGUACCAGUACUGGGCUGUGUUUUGGUUGUAGUCGCCAAACUCGGCCUGGGCCAAGAGGGCACUCAGUUCCUCAGCUUGCUCCAAGCCCAUGCGCAGGUGACCGUUGUGGAGGUCCUCUUUCACUUGCAUGAAGAAUACGUGUCUAGAGGGGGGUGGAAAGGAACCAGUUAAUUAAAGUUAAAGUACCAAUGAUAGUCUCACACACACACUAGGUGUGGUGAAAUUUGUCCUCUGCAUUUGACCCAUCCCCUUUUUCACCCCCUGGGAGUUGAGGGGAGCUGUAGGCAGCAGUGGUGGCUGCGCCUAUUCUCAUUUUUGGUGAUUUAACCCCCAAUUUCAACCCUUGAUGCUGAGUGCCAAGCAGUGAGGUAAUGGGUCCCAUUUUUAUAGUCUUUGGUAUGACUCGGCCGGGGUUUGAACUCACAACCUACCGAUCUCAGGGCGGACACUCUAACCACUAAGCCACUGAGUAGGUAAUCGAUUCUUCUUUGAGGGUAUAAGUCACUUUGACUUGCGAGUCACUGCAACACAAACAAUGUGGGCCUUACAAGUCUUCACUGACGCAUUUUCUCUUUCAAAGUCCUAAAAAUGCACAGUUAGAACUUCCCUUAGAAGAAAGUGUUUUCACAAGACUGAGCUACAAUAUGUUGGUCUCUGAUUCGUACUUGCUGUCAGACCUUGAAUAAACUCAUGUGAAGAUCUACAGCACAUUGUUGGGGAAUUCUAUGGGCCCACUUGUCAAGAUGAAGUGUCUUUACCAACUGCUUUUGUUCGGGUUGAAGAACACCAAGUUCUGGCGUUGUCAAAGACAGCAGUCUUUUCCAUUGUUUUGUCCACAAGAUGUGAGGAAUUCUGCACAGCGGGAAGCGAGAACACCCUGACUGAUAAUCCUGACAUCAUCGUGGCUGCCGCUGAACUAUAGUAACCUCGGCUGACGCCUACCUUCACUCGACUUAUGGCACAGUAACCUUAAGAAGAUUGGAAGUGGUGACUACUGACACGCUCUGCUUUCAGUUUUGUUUCCGCCACCGAGCAGUAUCAAUCAGUUUUCAGUAAUUGUUGAUCUUCUGGGAAAUUCUACUUUAGAAUAUCAAGCCGGAUCAUACUGAACUGAACCACGUGGUGGAAAAAUGCCUUAAAAAGGUGUCUCCUUAAAAAGGCGUCUCCUAUCUAGACCUGGGCCAAUAACAAUUUUUACAUAUUUAUUGACCUACAAAUUAUUGUCAACAUUAUUUUGAAACCAAAUUAACCACUAAUGUAAUGAUAAUACAUAAUAAUAAUAAUGCAAUUAUACCCAUGCAAUAAACAUGUUUUUCUCGUAUAAUUUAACAUUAUAAUUGAAGUGUAAACUUUUAAAUACCAAGUUAAAUAUAAUAAAGAAAUUCUAAAAAAUUAAAUAUACAACAUUUUGCACUUGAAUAAAAAUCACAACCAAAAGCAAUAAAAUAGGUUCUGUCUCUGUUAAAGAGGGGCGGGAGACCCUCAAAUAUAAACAACCAAAACAAUACUGUAGUUCAGUUGUUUAGACAGUAAUGUGUUUAUACAAGUUUAGAUUGGGAAAUUACGUUUCGUAAUGGGGAAAGACGUUAGUCUCUUCUUAAUGUCUCUUGUUUACGUGUUAGCAAGCUGGUUAUCAAGCACAGUUUUUGAUCGUUUUAAUUUAGUAAGGUAUUACUAACCAUCGGGAGUUUUACAGCGGCUAUCGUUGCUACCGUUUAUUUACAUAGGCCCGCAGCUGCUGCAACCAAUGCAAAAGAGUGACUGCUUUUUUAACCCGUAGCAACGCAUACAUGGCGAUUAUCGAGGCUGGCAAUCUUACCAACUUAAUUUCCAUUUAUUGUCCGGAUAAUUGACAUAUCGAAUAUCGGCCUAUAGGCCUACUCCUAUUAUGCAAAUUUUACUUUUUUGUGAUGUUCUAACAGUACAGGAAACGCCUCCUUCCCCAGGCUUCGCUACACAUUGUAAAAUUAAGCCUGGAGCUCUGCCAACUAUCCAUCAAUCAGAUAGAGACACAAGAGUUAUACCGGUACAUGUGAAACUUUAGUUUUUCUUUAGCAAAUGGGCUUACCUAGCAUUGUGUUGCUGUUAAAAUUGGGGUGUAAUGUUAGUACUUUAGCGAACAUGGCUAAGCUCGUGUUACUAACGUUUUUGUUCUGGUGUCUCACUCCUUAACUGUACCUUGCUGUGUGUGAUAUGUGGAUUCUAGUACAUAUAAAAAGUUGAUAACAAGUACAAUCGCAAAAGUACAAACAGCACUUUUGUAGCUUCUACAUUCCAGUACAAAGGCCAAUACACUAUUGUGGGACGUCUGAGGCUUUGAAUAUGCGAUCGGUCUUGACACCCAUUUUUUCUUUUGUAUAUCUGGCUAUGUGUUCCAUGGGGACGGAGGCACUGACGCUUCCUGUGCCGUCCUGAGAGACCGACCGAGGCUCUCUGGUGGAUCGGCACAUAUACAACAAAGGACUGGAGUCGGACCGCAUGGAGCGCAACUUUUAACCAGGCGGAUUUUGCCGGACUCUAAACGAGAGUGUCUUCUAACCCCGAGCCAACGUCGCCUGUUCGAGUGGGAUGCAGUGAAUGUCAGCUGGUUUAGUGUACAAAUGUGUGUGUGUGUUUCAGAACAAAACAGCUCCACACACAAAGUGAAACCCAACACCCCUGCUCAGAUGCUGCAACCCGCCCACUGGCAGCCAAUCAGUGGCACAGCCCUCGGCGCUUGCAACAAUGCGGUUUGUACGGGGCGCAACAAAGGUUACUAGCUGUCAAUGAACUCCAGUAAACUUUGCGCUACGCCUUCCCUCUUUAAUCAGGACUGAUGAAAUUACAAAAAUAUUUAGAAAAUAAAUUAGCGCAGACUUAUGGGCUGUUUGUACUUUGACCUUUUCAAAUGUGACUGCAGUCUAAAUGGCAGUGUGACCUGUUUGCGAUGUUUAAGUUAUCAUAGUUUCACUGAUUACUGUUACUUCUAGACCUCCACCCCAGAUCCCACCUCACUCCUACCCACUUCUCCAAAGUGGGCUGGCUCAAGGUGGAGGACAGGGUUAAACAACUUGCACUGAGCCUAGUCUAUAAAAUCCACUACACCUCCCUGAUACCGAAGUACAUGUCAAACUACUUCCUUAACGUAAAUGACCGCCAUAACCACAACACCAGGGGGAGCUCCACUAACCACGUUAAACCCAGAUUCCGAACUAACAAAGGUCUUAACUCAUUCUCUUUCUAUGCCACAUCAAUGUGGAAUGCGCUCCCAACAGGUAUAAAAGAAAGGGCAUCUCUAUCCUCCUUCAAAACCGCAAUAAAAGUUCACCUCCAGGCAGCUACAA